GUUUUUAUAUCAAAUGUGCAAAUCAUGAAAUCUCACAUCCGUGGUUUAUUAAAAAUAACAAACAAACAAAAAGAACAAUUUGGGCAUCCGAGUACAAAGUAUUGAAAUAAUAAAAUCAUACAAAGAAUAUAUUGCACAACCAUUAUUUUAAUACAUUAUUUAAUCAUACAUGCUACAGGCAUGUUGUCUUGCUAUAGGCAGGGAUUGUUAUUGGAUACAUGGUGGAAUAGAGAAUUGUGGGGGCGGGACAGUUGGCAUGGUACAACUUGUAUCCCCCCCAAAAAAAAAACUUCCACAGACCAUUCCACAGAGAGUACACUUGAAUAGAGUCCCACUUGUGUAUGCAGCAAAAGGUCAAUUACAAGGCAGUAUACUUGCCUUCGUCGGGGGGGGGGGGGGGGGGUUGAGGACAGCAUCAUAAAAAUGUCCAGGAAAUGUGUGGACUGCCCCGUAUACUUAUCAAUAAUACACCAUGGUAAUGAUUAUGCAAGGUACCAAUGCAUGGCAAAGUAAAUACUAUAAUACUAGUAAUAAUACCAUAAUGGUAAAAAACCUUUUAUGCGAAUGGGCCCAAGUGUGCAUUGGUUUUAAAGUACGUGUAUAGCAAGUCAUACCUAACUUUUUGUGAAAAAGUCACCAUGAGGUUUCGAUUACAAAUUAUUUUGACAAGUUACCCCCCCCCCCCACCAAAAAAAAUAUAAAAUGACUACGCAGCACCAUGUGUUUGACAAUAAACACCCCAACUCAUAUUGUUAUCAAUAACAGGUGGAAUAGGUUGGGUAAUCAUCAAUAAAAAUGCAGUGUGCAAAAAUGCAAUGCAUCUGAUUCUCUGUGUAGGGGUGGGAUUGGGCUUAUACUCACACAAAAAAUAUAAACAUGAUUAUAAAUAAUUAAGCAAAACUACUAAACAUGUAAGAUGGAAGUUGUGACCAAUAAUACUUAAAACCUGUUGUACCUUAAAGAUUACACAAAAAACUGAAGAAGAAAAAUUGUGAGAGCACAACAUAAUUCAGGUCAGAAAGAGAGAAGUAGAAUUUACUAAUCAUUAUUUCAAUAUAGCACUGAAUGACCAAAACAUCACAAACAAAAGUGUAAGUCAUGAAAUUUCAGCACAAUUAUUAGAUUAAUAUUGGCACUUCAGCACGGCACUACACAGUAUUCAGAUUUAAAGAUUUGUCAAAUGCCUAGGACACUAUACAACCUGAAUACUUGUGUAACCUUGAUUCACAAAAUUCAACACAUAACUGGACCAUGAAUUAAAGUUUGUAACACUGUUUAUAAAGAGGAUGUGCUUUUAUUGUUCCAAUGUUCAGGGCAGUCAAACAACCUUCAUUGAAAUUUACCUGAAGUUAUAGUCCACCUUUUGUCACCCCUGCCUUUUUGUACCUCAAAGGUCAAUAGAAACCUUUGAUAGACUGCACCAGGAUAUAAUUCCUCCUUCUCUUCCAACCUACUGGGUUUGUAAACCAUUAACCUCUGGCUUUACAAUAUGAUUCUUGUCAAAGGCCUCAGUGUAUUCUAAAUUAGUGAAAACCAAAACCAUUCUAUCAAAACUUUGUUUAUACCAAAUGUGUUAUGUUUACAUUACCAUGCUAUUUCAGUUAUUUCAUAACUUGUUAGAAUUGUGCCAACUAUUCUUAGAGAUUGGAGCCACCAACAUGCAGCUAUCAAGCUAUCCAUAUAUCGACCACAGUUUAUUUAUAUAAACCCAAUUUCAGAAUAUGGUCAUGAAAUUUAACAUAUAUAGCUCAAAUUUAUGGUCAUUAACUUGUAUCGCUAAUUGGUUGUCUUUCAAAAUCAGUAAA
rnacentral:lncRNA from 1 species